rnacentral:SRP_RNA from 1 species
CCGUGCUAGGUGGGAAGGUAGCGGUGUCCUGUAACUCGCAAUCCGCUCUAGCGAGACUGAACUCCUUCUCUGAGGCUGUUUGCAUGUGAGGUCCGGUGUUUGCACGUAGUGUUGACGUCCGGGUCCUGCGCAAUGAAUACCCAUGAACCAUGUCAGGUCCGGAAGGAAGCAGCAUUAAGUGGUGCUAUUUAUGUGCCGCGGGGUUGCCUGGGCUGAGCUAACGACAAGCGUGCCGCUCAUGUGUAGCAGUCGAAGGAAGGUGCACGG